UAAUACCAACUCCCUGAGUGGUGGGGACGAUUACUGGGCUUAAAGCGUUCGUAGCCGGUCUGAUUAGUCCCGCGUCAAAUCCAGCGACCUAAUCGUUGGGCUGCGGGGGAUACGGUCGGGCUUGGGAGCGGAAGAGGUUAGCGGUAUUCCCGGGGUAGGGGCGAAAUCCUGUAAUCCCGGGAGGACCACCGGUGGCGAAGGCGGCUAACCAGAACGCGUCUGACGGUGAGGGACGAAAGCUGGGGGAGCGAACCGGAUUAGAUACCCGGGUAGUCCCAGCUGUAAACGAUGCGGGCUAGCUGUUGGGGUGGCCACGAGCUAUCCCGGUGGCGCAGGGAAGCCAUUAAGCCCGCCGCCUGGGGAGUACGAUCGCAAGAUUG
rnacentral:rRNA from 1 species